rnacentral:tRNA from 1 species
UCCCUGGUGGCUCAGCAGUAAAGCAUCUGCCUGAAAUGCAGGAGACCCGAGUUUGAUCCCUGGGUUGGGAA